rnacentral:rRNA from 1 species
UGGGGAAUCUUGCGCAAUGGGGGAAACCCUGACGCAGCAACGCCGCGUGGGUGAUGAAGGCCUUCGGGUCGUAAAGCCCUGUCAGGUGGAAAGAAACGUGUUGAUGCCAAUACCAUCAACAUUUGACGGUACCGCCGGAGGAAGCACCGGCUAACUCCGUGCCAGCAGCCGCGGUAAUACGGAGGGUGCAAGCGUUGUUCGGAAUUAUUGGGCGUAAAGCGCGUGUAGGCGGUUACGUAAGUCAGAUGUGAAAGCCUUCCGCUUAACGGAAGAAGUGCAUUUGAAACUGCGUGACUAGAGUACGGGAGAGGAGAGUGGAAUUCCCGGUGUAGAGGUGAAAUUCGUAGAUAUCGGGAGGAACACCAGUGGCGAAGGCGGCUCUCUGGCCUAAUACUGACGCUGAGACGCGAAAGCGUGGGGAGCAAACAGGAUUAGAUACCCUGGUAGUCCACGCUGUAAACGAUGGGCACUAGGUGUAGGAGGUAUUGACCCCUUCUGUGCCGAAGCUAACGCAUUAAGUGCCCCGCCUGGGGAGUACGGCCGCAAGGUUA